rnacentral:rRNA from 2 species
AGAUGCGAUCAUACCAGCACUAAAGCACCAGAACCCAUCAAAACUCCGAAGCUUGCUUGGGCGAGAGUUGUACUAGGAUGGGUGACCUCCUCGGAAGUCCUCUUGUUGCAUUCC